GUCCCUGUCGAUUAGUGGUUAAAUCAUCACGUUGUGGUAAAGUUCCUGUCACGACCUACCGUGAAGCCGGGAGCUCGAAUCUCCCCAGGGACA